UGUGGCACACUUCUUCAAGACCCUUUCUUCUGCCAUCUCAACCAACGUUGGUGCACCUCAGGGCUGCGUAAGUUCUGCAAUACUUUUCACUCUAUACACAGAUGAUCUCCGUUCAACUUUAAAUAACCAGUACGUUUUGAAAUACUCUGACGAUACCGUUUUGCUGACAUUACUACAUGAUUAAGAAAGUCCUGAUGUGCACCAACAAGGUGGUAAUGAAGUGGUCACAUGGAGCAAAAACAAAGCUCUGGAGAUAUACACAAAGAAAACCGAGGAAACUGUGUUUAGUCCAAAACCAGUAAGGGUAAACCCCACAAUCAUUAAUAAUGAAAUAAUCCAACAGGUGGAGUUAUAUAAAUAUCUUGGAAUAAUGAUAGAUGCUACUCUACCUUGGAAACAUUAUAUUGACUACAUCU